rnacentral:rRNA from 1 species
UCCGAAGUUAAGCAUCAUUGGGCGCGGACAGUACUUGGGUGGGUGACCACCUGGGAACACUGCGUGCCGUU